rnacentral:lncRNA from 1 species
CGGCGGCGGCGGGCUAGGGGCGCCGGGUGCAGCGGCGCUGCGGACUUGGGCGCGUCUGUUUAGGGUUGGGACUUGGGCGCGGGCCGGGGUUGCGCCGGGUGGGGAUAAGGAUAUUUUCUUUUUUUUAAAAAAAAUACCCUUUGCCGAGAGCCACAGAGACAGGCUCUCGGUAAAGAAACAGGUUUUUUUUUAAAAAAACCUUUGGCGAGAGCACGAUGCGGCUGGCUCUCGGCAAAGACGUUUUGCCGAGAGCAAGAAGGGCAGGCUCUCGGCAAAGACACUUUGCCGAGAGCCAGAUGUGCAGGCUCUCGGGAAAGAGGUAUUUGACUUUUUUAUUCUUUUUUUAUUUUAGACCCGAGUUUUUUUUUGUGUCCUUGUCACUCAAUUUCUAAAUACAUUUCAAAAUUUAGCAUCAAUUUGACUUUAUUUGCUAUAUUUAACUAAUUAAUCUUGUUUCUUUAAAUUUUUUCACGUAAUUCAAAUUUGAACUACAGGUAUAUGGAAUAUUGGAACUCAGUGAUUCAAAAAAUAAUAGUCAAGAUAUUUGUUGUAUGUUGAAGUUGUAUCCACAACCACACAUAAAAUCUCAACCCUUUCGCAGACAUAACAUGUCGAGGAAUGUGAGGGAAAAGUGUUUUUUAAUUAUAUAAAUUCCAAAUGAAGUCCAAAAAUCACGAAACUUAGCGACGUGUCGUGUUAUCGCAUGUGGAGGCUGUGUUAAAAAAUUCAUA